rnacentral:piRNA from 1 species
GUGGGGAUGUAAAUGUGGAAGUACAUCGGG